AUGUGUCUAAGAUAAUUUUGAGAAACUGAGUGAAACCAGUGUCUCUCCAGGAUCUUUGUGCUUUCCUCACAUACCCUUUCUUGGUGGUCUCGACAGGACGAGGUGGGGUCCACUCAUGAGCUGGUCCAGAGUCUCGUCUCCACCCACUCCAUCAUUGAUACCAAGAUGGCUUCAAGUCGAGUGACACUGUUUUCUGAUUCCAAGCCACUUGAGUCAGAGGAUAUAGAUAAUCAAGGGCUGUUGAUGCCAAAGGAAGAAAAACAAAUGGACUUGAAACUAAUCGAAUGCGUCAGAAAGCCAUUUUUGCAGAUGAAGAUGGAUCUGGAGAUAGUGGUGAUGAAGAAGAUGAAAUUUCUGAAGGUGACAGAUUGGAAACCAUCUUUAGUGAUGAGGAAGCAGAAGAGUAGGAAAAUGCUGAAGUGACUGGUCACUAUAUGACUGCUAAGGGCAUCAAACGAGGGAAAUUUGAGGAGUUGGAAGAAGCCAGUGAAGUAGAUUUGCCAGCAUUUGCUGUCCGUGACAAUGAGCUUGAGAGGAGCUCAGCAGAAGGGAAAGUGGAAUAAGCUGGAGAAAGCAGUGAGGAAGAGGACUGCACUACAGGAGAGAGGGGCAUUUCAGGAUCAAAGACUGCUGGAGAAGGUAGUAAAGCAGAGCUGUCACCAGCUAAUCCCCGGAGUGACCCUGUAAAUCUGGAGAAGUCUUUGUCGAUGAAGAAAGCAGCCCUCACCUCUUUGUUUCUGGGCAUUGCACAGCUGAUGAGGCAUUUGCAUCUGAAGAGGAAUCUGAAGAAAGCUCUGCACUCAGUGCAGAGGAAGAGGACGUGGAAAAUGAGGACCCUUUUAGGAAAAAGGUUUCAGAGCCUUCUCAAGUGGGCAGUGGUCAGAAACUGGGGUGAAGAAACUUAAUUGGUGAGACCAGUGAUGUAGAAGAUUUACUCAAAGAAGAAGAUUGCAAGGAAGAGAAGAAUGAUUCCACAGAAGCCUCGGGUGCCCUCAAGUGGAAGGAAGACCUUUCCAGAAAGGCGCUAAGGCUUUUCUGAGGCAGCAACAAGCAGCUCCAAACCUCCGAAAGCUUGUUUAUGGGACAGUGACAGAAGAUAAUGAAGAAGAUUAUGAUACCUGAGAAGAGCUUGGAGGGUUGUUUCAUGUCAGCCAGCCUGACAGAGCGUGUAAGCACAAGGCUGACUCUUUGGACUGCUUCAGAUUGCUUGUGGAGUUGCCCCGUGACUGGGAUUUAGAGGAGGUGGAGAAAAGGAAGUCCCUCACAGUAACCGUCACCAUAAUCAAGACAGAAUGUUUCCAGAAGAAAUGGAGUUAUCUGCUUUCAGCCCCAGGUGGUAGCUGUUCUGUCCUGAUGAUAUGUGAUAAUAAUUUGUGAUCCUCAUGUCUUAAAAUGGAGUCACUCAUCUCCAGUAGAAUUAAGUCUACAGUGAAGUUGUCCCCUCAUCCCCAAAGAGAUAAACACAGAUGAAUGGGCUGAGUUGAUAUUUAUUGCUGCCUGAGAUCAUGAGAGACCUGAAGUGAACUGAUAGGAAGUGAAAAGUGGCUGAGAACAAGAGAAUGGACCCAUCUGCAGAGGAUCAUAAAACCAGCAGAGACAAGAUCUUGUCUAAGAUGUUUUCAGAAGCUUUGUCCAUGAGAACUGCAAGGACUUCUCCAGACCUGGUGGCUGCUGCUAUGAUCUCUGCCCCAAAGGAACAUCUGACCAGCAUCCAAAGGGCUUCUGGACCCACUGGAUUCUUCUGGAGGAGGCAAAGGAGGACCAAUGACUGGAAUAGCCAAGAACUCCAGGAUUCAUGAUGAACUAAUUGCUAGAGCAAAAAUAUCCAAGAUCUUCCUGACUUAUGAUGGGGAAGGGGUAACAGAAGUUGGAUGAGACAAUACCCAAACAUGAUUGCCAGGUUUACCUAAACUGAACAAUAGAAGAUUGUAGAUGAUGCCAUUAAGAUUACUCAAGAAUAUGGAAGAUUAUUAUUCACUUCUGAUGGGACCUUGUAAGUCACCUGAAAAAAAUUCACAUGAAAAACAAGUUUUACAAACUGUCACGUUAUGCUACAAUAUUUACAUAAUAUACGGUACAACCCUGAUCUCUUGGCUGUCAUAAAAUGUUUCUUACCUCUAAACCAAAGUUUCAUUUUAUAAUUUAAUUUUUUUCAUUUUUCCUGUCCUCUUAGCUUAAGAAAAGAUCAUUGCAGGCCGGGCGCGGUGGCUCACGCCUGUAAUCCCAGAAUUCUGUG